AUUGAACGCUGGCGGCAGGCCUAACACAUGCAAGUCGAACGAGUGGCGGACGGGUGGGUAAUGUCUGGGAAACUGCCUGAUGGAGGGGGAUAACUACUGGAAACGGUAGCUAAUACCGCAUACCAUCAGAUGUGCCCAGAGGGGAUUAGCUAUUUGGUGGGGUAACGGCGCACAAAGGCGACGAUCCCUAGCUGGUCUGAGAGGGUGACCGGCCACACUGGAACUGAGACACGGUCCAGACUCCUACGGGAGGCAGCAGUGGGGAAUAUUGCACAAUGGGCGCAAGCCUGAUGCAGCCAUGCCGCGUGUAUGAAGAAGGCCUUCGGGUUGUAAAGUACUUUCGGCGGGGAGGCGUUACCCGCAGAAAAAGCACCGGCUAACUCCGUGCCAGCAGCCGCGGUAAUUC
rnacentral:rRNA from 1 species